rnacentral:tRNA from 1 species
GGCUCUGUAGCGCAAUGGAUAGCGCAUUGGACUUCUAAUUCAAAGGUUGUGGGUUCGAAUCCCACCAGAGUCA